UACGGGGGGGGCAAGCGUUAUUCGGAAUUACUGGGCGUAAAGAGCGUGUAGGUGGUUAUCUAAGUCAGUUGUUAAAUAUCACGGCCUAACUGUGAAACUGCGAUUGAUACUGGAUGACUAGAGGGCAGGAGAGAGAAGUGGAAUUCUCGGAGUAGCGGUAAAAUGCGUAGAUCUCGAGAGGAACACCAGUGGCGAAGGCGGCUCACUGGCCCGGUACUGACGCUGAGGUGCGAAAGCGUGGGGAGCAAACAGG
rnacentral:rRNA from 1 species